CGUUACAUUUUGAGAAGUUUCUGCACACACUUUGGCGGUCAUUUCAGCGGUCUAAUAAUUCUGUGAAUAUUUGUUCUAAAGUGUCGUUUGUCUGAUGUCAGUGGAGUGGAAUUAUGGAUCAACUGGACGAUGUUUCAAUUGCCACACUCAGAGGACACUGUUGCCAAAAAGCUCUUGAAGCGACUUUCAAAUAUCCGAAGUCCUGUGAAGGCCAAACAGCCUCAUUCCAAAAGAGCACGUCAGGACAAAGAAACUUCUGCUACAGUGCCCAGUGACUAUGAUGCUGAUUCCAGUGCAUCAACAGUCAAUCUGUCACCACCUGCAAGAUCCAACCACCCCACAGGAAGAAAAUGAUAGCAUAGAUGAUGCAUAGGUUUGCGAGCAACUGAGAGAGACCAGCAUGUUUCUGUCAUGGUCCUGCCCCGCCAGCUUCCGUUCCUGCUUAUAUUCUGACACCACUUCCUGUCCCCAGUUUACCCUAACUCCCGGUAACUUCAUCUCAUCAUGCACAUUGGUUUCACCUGCCCCUUAAUCACUCACACCUGCUCACCACAGUAUUUAGCAGCUCCUCACCCUGUGGGGAGCUGCCAGAUUGUUCUAUGCCCGGUCUAGACUCUCCAGCAUUAAUUUCCAGUGACUGCUAUCCUGAUACCGAUCCCCUGCCUGUCCUACCGACCUGUGAUCCAGCCUCCUCCCUCUUGCCUGACUGCUACCUGGAGAUCGAUGCCCUGCCUGUUCUAAUGACCUAUGAUUCUGCCUUGCCUUCCCUGUUGCCCUGCCGGAGAUUUUGACCACAGACUAAGUACUGCUCUCUGCCUGAUCCCUCAAGACUGUGUCUGUUCACAUCUAACUUACAGAAAGACAUUAAACCCUGUUCUGCUGCCUCAGCUUUCUGGCUCUUUAAUUGGGUUCACACCUCCACCUUCACGGGAGCUUCACACACCCCUCCCUAACAGUUUCAGCGUCCUGAGGAUAAAAAAGCA